GGGUUAGUUGGAAGAAUAUCACCAAUCCGAUUAAGGCAGGGGGGUUUGGGGUUGUCUUGGCUUAGAGAUGCAAACAUUGUGCUCCUUACUAAGUGGUGGUGGUGGUUUAAAAUGAAACAAAGGCUUUAUGAGGAAGGUGCUAAAAAUGGUAAAAAGAGCAUCCGAGCAGAAAAAUGGGAUCGAAGGGUCAGCAACGGAACCGUAGCAUAAAUUUUGAAAACAGGACACCCCCGCGCCAUGCGGGGAUGCUCCUUUAACUCCCGCGACGCACUCCAAUGACCAAGUAAGUGGGCCUUGGAUGGGUUAUCCAGGCGCCACGCGAGAAAGACUCGGGACUCUCCCACGACGUGCAGGAGAGGUCAGUUGCGGGUGUCACACCCCAACCGAUGGCGGA
rnacentral:lncRNA from 1 species